AUUGAACGCUGGCGGCAGGCCUAACACAUGCAAGUCGAACGGUAACAGGAAGCAGCUUGCUGCUUUGCUGACGAGUGGCGGACGGGUGAGUAAUGUCUGGGAAACUGCCUGAUGGAGGGGGAUAACUACUGGAAACGGUAGCUAAUACCGCAUAACGUCGCAAGACCAAAGAGGGGGACCUUAGGGCCUCUUGCCAUCGGAUGUGCCCAGAUGGGAUUAGCUAGUAGGUGGGGUAACGGCUCACCUAGGCGACGAUCCCUAGCUGGUCUGAGAGGAUGACCAGCCACACUGGAACUGAGACACGGUCCAGACUCCUACGGGAGGCAGCAGUGGGGAAUAUUGCACAAUGGGCGCAAGCCUGAUGCAGCCAUGCCGCGUGUAUGAAGAAGGCCUUCGGGUUGUAAAGUACUUUCAGCGGGGAGGAAGGGAGUAAAGUUAAUACCUUUGCUCAUUGACGUUACCCGCAGAAGAAGCACCGGCUAACUCCGU
rnacentral:rRNA from 1 species